AGAUUGAACGCUGGCGGCAGGCCUAACACAUGCAAGUCGAGCGGUAGAGAGGUGCUUGCAUCUCUUGAGAGCGGCGGACGGGUGAGUAAUGCCUAGGAAUCUGCCUAGUGGUGGGGGAUAACGCUCGGAAACGGACGCUAAUACCGCAUACGUCCUACGGGAGAAAGCGGGGGACCUUCGGGCCUCGCGCCAUUAGAUGAGCCUAGGUCGGAUUAGCUAGUUGGUGAGGUAAUGGCUCACCAAGGCGACGAUCCGUAACUGGUCUGAGAGGAUGAUCAGUCACACUGGAACUGAAGACACGGUACCAGACUCCUACGGGA
rnacentral:rRNA from 1 species